CAUUCUACUUCUGCAGGCGCCAGUUAUGCUAAUCGGCGCAGAAGGCGCCGACUAGGAGCACCCGUCGUUUCGUUCGGACAACUUCCACAACUCCCACGACCCUGUGUCACGACUGAUGACCGAUGCCGGAGGGAGGAUCCAUGGGGACCGCGCCUAGGUUCAGGGCGGGUCUGCCUCACAUGGGGCCGAGGCGCCCGACGAGGUUGUCUUCUGGCAAUUCCACGAUGUCGUGCCCGAGCCAGCGGAUCAUCCGCUGUCGAUUUAACUCUGUCGAUUCAGUAAUUGAAUCACGAUUACAGGAGGCCAUUAAUGGCAAUGGAUGUGAGAGGCCGGCGGAUAAUUGCAGGUUCUCUGAUCUCGAUCGAUUGGAUCUCGGUUUCACGGUUGGCUGAUUCUGCUGCAUUGAAAGGCGAGGCACUGCUUUCACCAUAAUGAUUUCUUGCAUGAGAAUAAUACAUGCUUAAACGCAGCAUCUUCCAAUUGUUCAAAGUGCUAAUAGUUACAACCUGAGAUUACUUGCUCGGGUCCUUCUUUCACAAAGUACAGAGAUGACUUCAGAGUAACCAUGUUCUUUUCAGCUUUUCUAUUCUACAUAAACAACUUGAGGAUGGUAUGGAUCAGGGUCUUCUGUUUGAAGCUUUUCUGUUCUAAAUAAACGACAUGAGGACGGUGAGGAUCAAUUCAUAUUUGUCCUGCUUUUGAAGUCCCUCUGUAUUGGGGAAUGCCUUGCUUUCUAGGAAUGCAAAGGUGAAGGUACGAUACUUUUUCUUAAUUCUUAUUUGGUGACUGUAUUUUGAUUGCUUGUAGCGAGUGAUUUUCAAUAUUUAAUUACUCAUCAGAACUGAAGUAUAAGCCCAGCGUUACUGAAAAAGGGUUUCCCCCUGCUUUGUAUUCCAAAGCAACCAACACCGAGUACAGGUAACGCUGUGGCGAGCAGCACAACACACCAAGAGAAAAAGAAGAAGAAACAAAUGCCAACGACGGCAGCUUGGCAAAGCGCGGAUGACCCGCCACCGCGGCGCCCACCGGAAACAAAACACCACAUACCGAGGCUCCGAUCCGCCGCGUACCAAGCAGCACCUCCAAGAAGGGAUGCGACGCCGACGACGCUGCUGCCCAGACGAGUCCUCAGGUUUCCCCGGGCACGCGGAGGGAGGUGGGGUGGAUACCACCGAAACCCUCCAGGGAGGAAUGGUGGCACUCGCAGGUGUCACCGCGUCGGGGCCGA